rnacentral:rRNA from 1 species
AGGCGACGAUACAUAGCCGACCUGAGAGGGUGAUCGGCCACACUGGGACUGAGACACGGCCCAGACUCCUACGGGAGGCAGCAGUAGGGAAUCUUCGGCAAUGGGGGCAACCCUGACCGAGCAACGCCGCGUGAGUGAAGAAGGUUUUCGGAUCGUAAAGCUCUGUUGUAAGUCAAGAACGAGUGUGAGAGUGGAAAGUUCACACUGUGACGGUAGCUUACCAGAAAGGGACGGCUAACUACGUGCCAGCAGCCGCGGUAAUACGUAGGUCCCGAGCGUUGUCCGGAUUUAUUGGGCGUAAAGCGAGCGCAGGCGGUUUGAUAAGUCUGAAGUUAAAGGCUGUGGCUCAACCAUAGUUCGCUUUGGAAACUGUCAAACUUGAGUGCAGAAGGGGAGAGUGGAAUUCCAUGUGUAGCGGUGAAAUGCGUAGAUAUAUGGAGGAACACCGGUGGCGAAAGCGGCUCUCUGGUCUGUAACUGACGCUGAGGCUCGAAAGCGUGGGGAGCGAACAGGAUUAGAUACCCUGGUAGUCCACGCCGUAAACGAUGAGUGCUAGGUGUUGGAUCCUUUCCGGGAUUCAGUGCCGCAGCUAACGCAUUAAGCACUCCGCCUGGGGAGUACGACCGCAAGGUUGAAACUCAAAGGAAUUGACGGGGGCCCGCACAAGCGGUGGAGCAUGUGGUUUAAUUCGAAGCAACGCGAAGAACCUUACCAGGUCUUGACAUCCCUCUGACCGCUCUAGAGAUAGAGUUUUCCUUCGGGACAGAGGUGACAGGUGGUGCAUGGUUGUCGUCAGCUCGUGUCGUGAGAUGUUGGGUUAAGUCCCGCAACGAGCGCAACCCUUAUUGUUAGUUGCCAUCAUUGAGUUGGGCACUCUAGCGAGACUGCCGGUAAUAAACCGGAGGAAGGUGGGGAUGACGUCAAAUCAUCAUGCCCCUUAUGACCUGGGCUACACACGUGCUACAAUGGUUGGUACAACGAGUUGCGAGUCGGUGACGGCAAGCUAAUCUCUUAAAGCCAAUCUCAGUUCGGAUUGUAGGCUGCAACUCGCCUACAUGAAGUCGGAAUCGCUAGUAAUCGCGGAUCAGCACGCCGCGGUGAAUACGUUCCCGGGCCUUGUACACACCGCCCGUCACACCACGAGAGUUUGUAACACCCGAAGUCGGUGAGGUAACCUUUUGGAGCCAGCCGCCUAAGGUGGGAUAGAUGAUUGGGGUGAAGUCGUAACAAGGUAGCCGUAUCGGAAGGGGCGGCUG